UCAGAGUAUUUUCUGAAAAAGUCCUGCAGUGCAGAGGAGUCAAACAUUUGAUCACAUGCAGCAGCACAAGAUAGAUGGAGUACAGCUGACUCAACAGCUACAGGGGAUUUGGAAUGGAAACAAUCACUUGCUUGAAGGAAACAAUGUUAUCCAACUUGUGGUGUCAGUCAGCCUAUUCCCACAGUCACUGCAUUGAUGGAGGAAAAUUUUGUCCAAGAUGAACCUGGGCUUGUGUUAGUCUCUCAGCAAUUUUGAAAUCGCACUGUCUCCAC